rnacentral:rRNA from 1 species
GAUGAACGCUGGCGGCGUGCUUAACACAUGCAAGUCGAGCGAGUGAGUUCUUCGGAACGAUCUAGCGGCGGACGGGUGAGUAACACGUGGGCAACCUGCCUCAUAGAGGGGAAUAGCCUCCCGAAAGGGAGAUUAAUACCGCAUAAAAUUAUCGAGUGGCAUCACAUGAUAAUCAAAGGAGUAAUCCGCUAUGAGAUGGGCCCGCGGCGCAUUAGCUAGUUGGUGAGGUAACGGCUCACCAAGGCGACGAUGAGUAGCCGACCUGAGAGGGUGAUCGGCCACAUUGGGACUGAGACACGGCCCAGACUCCUACGGGAGGCAGCAGUGGGGAAUAUUGCACAAUGGGGGAAACCCUGAUGCAGUAACGCCGCGUGAGUGAUGAAGGUCUUCGGAUUGUAAAGCUCUGUCUUUGGGGACGAUAAUGACGGUACCCAAGGAGGAAGCCACGGCUAACUACGUGCCAGCAGCCGCGGUAA